rnacentral:rRNA from 1 species
GAUGAACGCUGGCGGCGUGCCUAAUACAUGCCAGUCGAGCGAACAGACGAGGAGCUUGCUCCUCUGACGUUAGCGGCGGACGGGUGAGUAACACGUGGAUAACCUACCUAUAAGACUGGGAUAACUUCGGGAAACCGGAGCUAAUACCGGAUAAUAUAUUGAACCGCAUGGUUCAAUAGUUAAAGACGGUUUUGCUGUCACUUAUAGAUGGAUCCGCGCCGCAUUAGCUAGUUGGUAAGGUAACGGCUUACCAAGGCAACGAUGCGUAGCCGACCUGAGAGGGUGAUCGGCCAAACUGGAACUGAGACACGGUCCAGACUCCUACGGGAGGCAGCAGUAGGGAAUCUUCCGCAAUGGGCGAAAGCCUGACGGAGCAACGCCGCGUGAGUGAUGAAGGUCUUCGGAUCGUAAAACUCUGUUAUUAGGGAAGAACAAAUGUGUAAGUAACUAUGCACGUCUUGACGGUACCUAAUCAGAAAGCCACGGCUAACUACGUG